AAAAUGGUGGGUUUUAGAAAAUUCCUUCCUUUUCAGUUACUCUUUUUCUUUGUCACUGAUUUUUUAAUCGAUUACUUUCUUCUUCUUCAACUUUUGCUUCUUCUCCUCCUCCAUGCUGCUGGCUUUUCUUGCCAUCACUCUUCUUCCUUCUUCUUUGCCUUCACCUUUUCAAGGCCUUCUAGGGCUUCUUUUCUUUUUUCUACAAAAAAACGUCUGAUGCAAUCAUUAAAUCUAUUUGUUUUUGUUUUAUUUAUUUUGAAGAAUUUGAAUGAGUUAAGUUUUAGAUGUGAUUUGAUGACAAAACCUGGGCUUUAUCUAUUUCAAAUGUCCUUCCUCAUUUUCCUAACCAAAAUCUCCAAAUCUCCAAAUCCAAAUCCUUCCCCACUAUUUUCUCACUGCUUGGAUAAAAUCACAGCCCCUGAUGUAAAUGCUUUUGCCAAGAACAUGGGAAAGACAGCUAUUACGUGGAAGUUAAAUUUCUGAUAACUACUUGCACAAAUUAAAAAAAGAAUCACAACUUUUCUAUAUGUAAAUUGGAGAUUUAUUCCUAGAAAAUUGGAUACCAUUGCCAUUUAACCAAACACUAUUUCCUUAUAUCCCAGGUAUCAUAUUCCCCGACAUUCUUAAUUCCCUGGCAUUUAUAAAACCUUAAAUCAAACGACCCCUAAUUUUUUCAUCUUAAUGAUUUUCUGUUUAACAUCCCCUUACCUAUUAGUGAUCUGGAUUCAUGGUUGAAGACACCUUCCAUUUACGUGUUCGACUGUUCUGCUGCUGGGAUGAUAGUCAAUGCCUUCACUGAGCUUCACGAUCCCUCUGGAUCAACGAGGGACUGCAUUUUGCUUGCAGCAUGUGAAUAACAUGAAACUCUUCCCCAAAGAGCUGAAUUUCCUGCAGAUGUUUUUACCUCUUGCCUUACAACACCAAUCAAGAUGGCCUUGAGAUGGUUAUUCGAGCUCGGUUGCUACAGUUCAGGAAGAGGAAUGUCAAGCCCUUGCUGCAUUUGGUGCCUGUUUCCAAUAUUAAUAAUUGUUUGAAGAAGCAUUUUCGAGACCUUUAAAAUGUCGUGAUCUUUGAAUUUAUAUAAUUCUGUUUGGUUGCAAUUAAUUUUACAAGCGUGUUUUCAUUGUUGGUGGAAUCAGACUUGAAUAAUAUUGGAUUUAUGUGCUUUAAGAUAUGAAUGGGAUUUAUUGUUGCUUUAAGAUAUGAAUGGGAUUUAUGUGCAAGUGCUAAUAGCAUUUUCAUUGUUGGUGGAAUCAGACUUGAAUAAUAUGGUUUCCUACGUAAUGUGACUUGUAGUUUCAAGUU